UACGUAGGGUGCGAGCGUUAAUCGGAAUUACUGGGCGUAAAGCGUGCGCAGGCGGUUCGUUGUGUCGGUGGUGAAAGCCCCGGGCUUAACCUGGGAAUGGCCAUGGAAACUGGCGAACUGGAGUGUGGCAGAGGGGGGUGGAAUUCCGCGUGUAGCAGUGAAAUGCGUAGAGAUGCGGAGGAACACCGAUGGCGAAGGCAAUCUCCUGGGCCUGCACUGACGCUCAUGCACGAAAGCGUGGGGAGCAAACAGG
rnacentral:rRNA from 1 species